rnacentral:pre_miRNA from 1 species
AGUGGGAUAGCUGGGUCAAAUGGUGAUUCCAUUCCACGUUUUCUGAGUAAUCUCCAUACUGCUUUCCAGAGUGAUUGCACCAAUUUGCAGUCCCACCAACAAU